rnacentral:tRNA from 1 species
GCGCGCUUAGCUCAGUGGUAGAGCGUCUCGUUGACGUCGAGAAGGUCAUAGGUUCAAUCCCUAUAGCGCGUACCA